AAAUAAUCAGUGGUGCUCGGAAUAAACACGUGGAUUUAAUCAGAACAUGCUGGAAACUCCAGGCCAAUGAAGACACAAGCAAUAUGCGCUUCCAGUCGUGAGGGACGUGUUUAAGACGUCACAUGUGAUGGCAGCCCUGACCCCAGGAUGACCCCUGACCCCACGUGACCUGAGCAGAUAUGUCCCCUUCAAUCUAGUGAAGAAUCAAACCCUCCAUCCGCAUUUAUCGAAGUGAACACAUCAAACCCCUGCCAGAUCAAAGAAGCCCAGUUAACUCCUAUCAAAGGGUCCACC
rnacentral:lncRNA from 1 species